rnacentral:rRNA from 1 species
AGAGCUCGUAGGCGGUUUGUCGCGUCUGCCGUGAAAGUCCGGGGCUCAACUCCGGAUCUGCGGUGGGUACGGGCAGACUAGAGUGAUGUAGGGGAGACUGGAAUUCCUGGUGUAGCGGUGAAAUGCGCAGAUAUCAGGAGGAACACCGAUGGCGAAGGCAGGUCUCUGGGCAUUAACUGACGCUGAGGAGCGAAAGCAUGGGGAGCGAACAGGAUUAGAUACCCUGGUAGUCCAUGCCGUAAACGUUGGGCACUAGGUGUGGGGGACAUUCCACGUUUUCCGCGCCGUAGCUAACGCAUUAAGUGCCCCGCCUGGGGAGUACGGCCGCAAGGCUAAAACUCAAAGGAAUUGACGGGGGCCCGCACAAGCGGCGGAGCAUGCGGAUUAAUUCGAUGCAACGCGAAGAACCUUACCAAGGCUUGACAUGAACCGGAAAGAUCUGGAAACAGGUCCCCCACUUGUGGUCGGUUUACAGGUGGUGCAUGGUUGUCGUCAGCUCGUGUCGUGAGAUGUUGGGUUAAGUCCCGCAACGAGCGCAACCCUCGUUCUAUGUUGCCAGCACGUGAUGGUGGGGACUCAUAGGAGACUGCCGGGGUCAACUCGGAGGAAGGUGGGGACGACGUCAAAUCAUCAUGCCCCUUAUGUCUUGGGCUUCACGCAUGCUACAAUGGCCGGUACAAAGGGUUGCGAUACUGUGAGGUGGAGCUAAUCCCAAAAAGCCGGUCUCAGUUCGGAUUGGGGUCUGCAACUCGACCCCAUGAAGUCGGAGUCGCUAGUAAUCGCAGAUCAGCAACGCUGCGGGUGAAUACGUUCCCGGGCCUUGUACACACCGCCCGUCAAGUCACGAAAGUUGGUAACACCCGAAGCCGGUGGCCUAACCCCUUGUGGGAGGGAGCUGUCGAAGGUGGGACUGGCGAUUGGGACGA